rnacentral:tRNA from 1 species
GGUUGUGACUCAGAGGUAGAGCGCUUGCCUAGCACAUGCGAGGCCCUGGGUUCAAUCCUCAGCACCA